UCUGUAGCUCAGUUGGUAGAGCACUGGUCUCCAAAAUCAGUCGUCGUGGGUUCGAAUCCUUCCAG
rnacentral:tRNA from 1 species